GAUGAACGCUAGCGGGAGGCCUAACACAUGCAAGCCGAGCGGUAGAGUUUCUUCGGAAACUUGAGAGCGGCGCACGGGUGCGUAACACGUGUGCAACCUACCUUUAUCUGGGGGAUAGCCUUUCGAAAGGAAGAUUAAUACCCCAUAAUAUAAUGAUUGGCAUCAAUUAUUAUUGAAAACUCCGGUGGAUAGAGAUGGGCACGCGCAAGAUUAGAUAGUUGGUGAGGUAACGGCUCACCAAGCCAAUGAUCUUUAGGGGUCCUGAGGGGGAGAUCCACCAAACUGGUACUGCGGCACAGACCAGACUCCUACGGGACGCAGCGGUGAGUAAGAUUGGACACUGGGUGAGAGCCUGAUCCAGCCAUCCCGCGUGAAGGAUGACGGUCCUAUGGAUUGUAAACUUCUUUGGAAGAGGGAUAGACCUACCCUCGUGAGGGUAGCUGAAGGUACUGUACGAAUAAGCACCGGCUAACUCCGUG
rnacentral:rRNA from 1 species